AGCAGCCGCGGUAAUUCCAGCUCCAAUAGCGUAUAUUAAAGUUGUUGCAGUUAAAAAGCUCGUAGUUGAAUUUCGGGAUCAAUGUUUCGGUCAUGCCGUUGGUAUGUACUGAUAUUAUUGGUUUCUCACCUUCUAAAGAACCGUAAUGCCAUUAAUUUGGUGUCACGGGGAAUUAGGACUGUUACCUUGAAAAAUUAGAGUGUUUAAAGCAGGCUCACGCUUGAAUACAUUAGCAUGGAAUAAUGAAAUAGGACAUCCGAUUCUAUUUUGUUGGUUUCUAGGAUCGAUGUAAUGAUUAAUAGGGAUAGUUGGGGGCAUUAGUAUUCAAUUGUCAGAGGUGAAAUUCUUGGAUUUAUUGAAGACUAACUACUGCGAAAGCAUUUGCCAAGGAUGUUUUCAUUAAUCAAGAACGAAAGUUAGGGGAUCGAAGACGAUCAGAUACCGUCGUAGUCUUAACCAUAAACUAUGCCGACUAGGGGUCGGAUGAUGUUAAUUUUUUAAUGUACUCAUUCGGCG
rnacentral:rRNA from 1 species